rnacentral:misc_RNA from 1 species
AUACAGGUAAUCCUUCAAGAGAGGUUGCUGGUCUUUUCCAUUCUUCAACAAAAUUGUAUCGGAGUAAAUUUCUGUCAUCCUAUGUAAACUGAAAUUGGAGAGAGGAAAAAAAAAAACUCCCAGAUGUAUUCACAUUGUAUUUGACACAGUUCCAAGGCAUUGCUGUAAUCCUCAUGCCUUGCACUAAUCAACUUUGAGGAUUUCUAUGCCGAGAAAAUCUAAAGAACUUAUGCACAGGAGUAUUCGGAACAGGUAUCAGUUUGCCAACCAAAGCAAGAGGCCAACUGAUAAAAGCAAUAACUACAGAAAUCAACCAUUGCUUCCAAUUAAGCUUAACCGUUGAGGUAAACUUUCCAAUAAACUCGAUGAUAAUGACCUGAAGAACAAGUGUUACUGCAACUAUCCCCAUGAAAAGAUGGUUUUUUGUGAUUCCAUCAAAAAUGUUUAGUUCAUCUGGCUUCCGGGCAUUAAAUUCAU